rnacentral:rRNA from 1 species
GAGCGGAUGACGGGAGCUUGCUCCUUGAUUCAGCGGCGGACGGGUGAGUAAUACCUAGGAAUCUGCCUGGUAGUGGGGGACAACGUUUCGAAAGGAACGCUAAUACCGCAUACGUCCUACGGGAGAAAGCAGGGGACCUUCGGGCCUUGCGCUAUCAGAUGAGCCUAGGUCGGAUUAGCUACUUGGUGAGGUAAUGGCUCACCAAGGCGACGAUCCGUAACUGGUCUGAGAGGAUGAUCAGACACACUGGAACUGAGACACGGUCCAGACUCCUACGGGAGGCAGCAGUGGGGAAUAUUGGACAAUGGGCGAAAGCCUGAUCCAGCCAUGCCGCGUGUGUGAAGAAGGUCUUCGGAUUGUAAAGCACUUUAAGUUGGGAGGAAGGGCAUUAACCUAAUACGUUAGU